GGACGGCUGGCUGAGCCCGGCUUAAGGCACCUGCUUGGAAGGCAGGCGGACCCCCUGGGUCCCACGCGUUCGAAUCGCGUGCCGUCCGCCA
rnacentral:tRNA from 2 species